CCCUUAGAUGUUCUGGGCUGCACGCGUGCUACACUGAUAUUGCCAAUAUGUCAUUCUUAUCCGAAAUGGAUUGGGUAAUCAAGUAAUGAAAUUUCAUGCUUGGAAUCGGUAAUUGCAAUUUUAUCGUGAACGAGGAAUUCCUAGUAAGCACUAGUCAUCAGCUAAUGUUGAUUAUGUCCCUGCCCUUUGUACACACCGCCCGUCGCUACUACUGAUUAGGUGUUCAAGUGAGAUGCUUAGACCCUUGUUGCAUGGUUCAUUAUUGUGCUCCGAAAGGAAAAAGUUUCAAGCUUGAGUGUCUAGAGGAAGUAAAAGUCGUAACA
rnacentral:rRNA from 1 species